rnacentral:lncRNA from 1 species
UUUUUUUUUUAAUUUUAUGGCAGUGCCCACAGCAUGCAGAAGUUCUGAGGCUAGGGGUCAAACCCAUACCAUAGCAGUGGCAAUGCUGGACCUUAACCCACUGACCCACCAGGGAACUCUCCUUUAGCAUUCUAUGAAAACUUUCUUUGUGCUUCUUAGUUGGACAAUCUUUUGCACAAGUGUUUAUGUUAAUGUGUUGAUUUAAAUCUUGACAAACACUUAGACAUAAAUGGAAAUAGUGUACUCCAAUAUAAAGAGAAUUAGGGCACAAAUUUUAUGAUAUUUUUAAUUUUUUCCCUGGGGCAAUAUUACAAAACGAGUCCAUUUACUGUCCCCAGUUAUUAAGCAGAUAUGGAUAUAGCAACCAUCAGAGAAGAAAGGAACAUCUUUGUAACAUCUCACAUAUGUUUUUGUGGAUACAGAAUAAAAUGUCUUCCCCUGAUAAUUAGAAAUAGUUCAUAAAAUCAGUUGGUCUGUGUGUAUCACAUAAAGGCAAUAAAAAAACUACAGUUUGCUGGUUGGAAGCAAAUUGUAAGAUGUUUGAUGUCUUGACAGUGGUGUGUAAUCAGUAAAUAAGAAAGUCAUUAGUUGUCUGUGUUGUGUAACAAGUGACCAGAAACUUAGAAGUUUAAAAUAAUACACAUUCAUCCUCUCACAGUUUCAGUGGUAUAGAUGUCUAGGCAUAGGUUAAAAAGGGUUAUAUGUUUAGGGUGCCCAAUAUUGUGAUUUAUUAAAAAUAUGUUUUUUCAUCAUUCAUAAGACUGAAAUAUAUUUUCCAGGUAUAUUCGGUCUUAGUCCAUAGUUUCUGACUCCCAGCUCCCAGAACCUUGUGAUUUCCUAGUGUUGAGAGUGAUAAAGUGUCUUUGGUUAUGUUAACUAGGUGACUUUUGGACACUCCUAAGGAUAGGGCUUGGUAACCAGUGGAGCCAAUCACAUGAUGAACAUACCUGGGAGAGGGAAUGGGAGUAGAGAUUAAGUUGAAUCUCCAGUUGUCAAUGAUUUAACCAGUCAUGUGUAUGGAUAAAAUCUCCAUAAAAAUAAACCUAAGAAUAAGGGUUUCUGAGAGCUUCUGGGUUGUGAGCAUGUGGAGUUGCUGGGACAGUGAUGCACCUGGAGAGGGGAUGGGAGCUCCCAGCCCUUUCUCUCUGUCUCACCCAUGCAUUUCUUCCAUGGCUUUUUCUGAGUUAUAUCAUUUUAUAAACCUCUGAUAUAAUAAGUAAAAUGUUUCUCUGAGUGCUGUGAACUGUUCUAGCAAAUUAACCAAGCCCAAAAUGAGGACUAUGGGAAUCUCUGAUUUAUAGCUGAUUGGUCAGAAGUACAGGUAACAACCUGGGCUUGUGAGUAGCAUGUGAAAGGAUGGCAUAGGGGAAGUGACAGUUUUGCAGGACUAAUCCUUAACCUGUGGAAUCUGAUGCUGUCUCCUAGUAGAUAGUGUCAGAAUUGAGUUGAAUUCUUGGACACUAACCUGGUGUCCCAUGAAUUGCUUGGUACUGGAUGGGAAGCCCACUCCCUGCCACACACAUCCCACAUUGGGAUAGGUUUCCGUAAACUCAUUGAGGUCUCACAAGUCUGCAGUCAAGGUGGGAGCCAGGGCUGAGUUCUCAUCAGAACUUCUCAUCAGACUCAAUAAGUGUCAUUGCAAAUUUCCUUUAGGUUGUUUGCAGAAUUCAUUUCCUUAUGGCAAUAGUAUUCCAGCAACUUGUUUCUUCAAAGCCCACAAGAGAAAGAGACUAGAGCAAGCCACGUAUCAAGACAAGAGUCUAAUCUAAUGUAAUGUAAUCAAUGCAGUGGCAUCCCAUUGCCUUUGACAUGUUCUACUGGUUGAAAAUAAGCCACCAGUCCUACCCACAGUAAAGGCAAGGGAAUUAUACAAGGGCACCAAGAGGUGGAAGCAUGGGGCCACUUUAAAUUCUGAUCUCCACUGGGGAGGAAAACAGACAUAAGGAAAAACAUAUAAUCACAGCACCUUAGUGCAUGUAUCCAAUUAAAGACUUUGUAUAAUUUCUAGAAGAAAUAUACCAUUAAUGAUCCAAAUGACGGUUGUACACUGUGGCUGAUUCUGUAUUAGGACCACACUUUUUGUGAGUAUCCUUUUAUGUAUAAGGAAGUGCAGGUGUAUACUGAGAAGAAAGAAUUUCAGGAAGGUAAGAUGACAUCCCUCAGGUGGAUUCUGAAGCUCUAAUUUUGAUAAAUUAAUCUACCUUUAAAAGGCUUUAAUUCUCUCUAAUACAUCUUGAGAAAGGAGUACUAUCUUAAACUGUUAAUAUUCUUUUAUAUCGUAAUAUAAUGGGGGAUUUGAUUAACCGGCUCCAGCAGAGAGCGAGCCAGUAAGACAGCAUGAGACAUGAGAAAGAGGACAAGAGGGAAAAACAGGAGUUUGAAAACAUCAUAAUUUUGCAGGGCUUUCCAUAUCUUUUCAUAGUAGAUUAUUAUGUACAGACAGUUAUUUCUCAUUAUAUUUAAUCAAAAUUCCAAGCCAUAUAAGAAUAUAAUUAUAACUUAGUAUAUACAUUUAUUUACAUGGCAAAUGAAUCUAAUGGUGGAGAGGGAACAUAAUGUGGAGAGACAAGCAUAUUAUCAGACACUGUGAUUGAAGUACAUGAGGUAAACUCCAUCUCUACUAGAAAUCUCACUGGGGACAAUAGGAAAAAAGAGGCAAGGCAGAGAAUCAAGAAAGGCUUCAAAAGAUGAGGGCAUGGAGAAUAGGCUGGCUGAUCAUCCAGGAGGAUGCAAAGCAAGUGAGCAAGGACUAACUUAACACUUGUAUCGGUUCUUAUGGACUGGGAGAGAUCCCGGCUCUAAGUAAGUCCUAAGCUCUCAACAGGCAUUGUUUUGGGCACCAUAGAGGAAAAUUCAGCAGGUUUCUAGUGACAGAAUGAUGCUAAACUUUUCAAUGGUUAGGCAAUGGAAACCUUUAUUUAGAGGCAGAUCCUGGAAAGAGUGGAAUUUUAUGAGAACUCCAUUAUACUGCUCACCAGCUUCUUAAAUACUUUCAGGCAAUGUCAGAAAAGCAUGUGAAAUAUUUUUGACCAGUCAACAUAACUUGAACACCAUUCAUUUCAGCAAUAUAAAGUUACUUCUAACACUCUGAUGCUAAUUAUUAUACCCUCCAGUAUUAGUUUACAGGACAAUAGUUGAAUGGCUAGUAUGGCUAGAUCUGGAGUUUGGUCUCCAAACAAUGUAACAGUUAUUCAUAAAGGUAGCAGAGCUCGCUUAUAUGGUCUUGCAUUUUCUCUGAGAAAAAUUUUAAAAUCUGGAUUUAAAAAGACUAUAGAAAAUAUUUAUUGCUUAAUACAAUGUAUAUAUUCUCAGUAGAAAAUAAAGUCAAAAUAAUAAUUAGUUCUUAUCCCUGGAGACGGUUAUUUUCCACAAUGAGAUUUGGCAGAAAGAGACUCUUGAAGUUAUUAGAAUCUUUGUCUCAAUAAAUAUAAGGCAAAUUCACAAAGUUUUUCCAAGUUCUAAUUGACUUAUUCCAUAUGAAAAAAAAAAUAAAAUGAAUUUAGCAUAAAUUAUAUUUUAUAUAUAUAUAUAUACACACACACAUAUAUAUACUGUACAUUAAAAAUAUUAUGGGAAUAGGAACUACACUUAUAAAACAAUAAUUUUGUUUUUAACCAACUCACGAUGUAGUUUUGUCAAACUUUAAAAUUUCUGAACCAAGUGUUAUUUCCCUUUGAGCCAGUUGGCCAAACAAGGCACAUCCCCUGAUCUUGGAGGUUGAUUGUUUUGUCCACUGAAUUGAGAAUCUGAUUUCCUCAUUUGAUUAAAUAAGUUAAACCUAUCAAAAGUAGGGAGUCAUUUUUCAACUUUUAAAAUCUUAACCAGCAGCAUUUUACUGUUAAAUCAUGAAAUUGUUUACCUUAAUUGUACCCAUUAAGGUGUUUUAGGAAAACUCCAAAGCCAGAAAGGAGGACUUAGUUUAUUUCCUGUUUUAUUUUCUUUAUCCCAUGCCAUACUUAACUGCCAUUGUCAUUACUGACAUAGUUCUGCUGGGAAUUUAGCCAUGCAGGGAGCAAUAAAUCUGUUAUUUGAAAAGAUUCUUUGGAAGGAAACAUGAAGAAUUUUGUAAAUUUAUUGGGACAGCAUAAAGUGAAUAACAUCUUAAAAUACUUGGGAAAGGACCAAGUUAUAUUACUAAAGGGGAAAGAGAGAACAAGAAUGAGCCUUGAGUAAGCAGAGAACAUCAUAAAUCAUAUAGGAUAGCUCUGUGCUUUUAUUCCUGAGUCCAUAUGUUCUACUCAAAGAAAAACAAUGUGGAACAAUUUAGCAUUAUUUUGCACAGCUCGAGGAGGGCCUGAGAAUUCCCUAUAACAGCUAAGUAACAUCAUUUAUAACUUUAAUAUCAAUACCUUUGGGUUUGUUUCUAAGUUUUGCUCAGCUCUAUCUAAAAACAAAUUUAUUUUCAACUUUUUUAAGAAAUAUUCUAACUUUGAGGAUCAGGAACAAGGAAUAGCAAAAUGUUGCAUCCAUCAGAAAUCAAUUUUUUUUAAAACAUCUUUUUUCAAUAAACUGCAAAGAUCUUGUGAACCAAGAAUGUAAAAUUUGUAUUUUGCUGUAUUCCUCUACUGUUAUCUUGUGUAUAUAGCAUAUAUAAUUGAUUAUAAAUUGAAUAUUUGAUAUUUAUCAUUGACAUAUUGUAUAUUCAUAUAUAAAACAUAUGUAUCUUUAAGAAUAUUGGUAACAUUUCUUUUAAUAACAUAAAGUAAGUAAUAUUAUAAAAAUGAUGGGUACCCUGGGGUAAAAGUGUAGAGCAAGGAGAAGGGAAUUGAGGACUUUGGGGGAGAGGGCAAUAAGUUGCAAUCUUCUAAAAGGGCACAUGCAUGCGUUUAUUAUUCAGGGUCUGGUUGUUAGUGGAAGUCCUAUGCACAGUGAGGCCAAACAAACCAAAACACUGGUGUUUGGAGCAGUGAAAGGUUUAUGGCAGGGCCAUGCAAGGAGAUAGUUGGUUGUGCCCCUAAAAUAUCCCCACUCCCCUAACCAAAAUUGCAAAGCCUCUUUUAAAGGUAAGGUGAG